rnacentral:lncRNA from 1 species
UUCUGAGUAGAAAAUACAAGUAAAGAUAUUGUACUAAAUGAUAAUAUAGCAUGACAUUCACAUUUGGGAGGGAACAACACAACAACACACGCCGUGAUACGAGUCCAUGCACACUGAGUAAACAAAACAUGGGGUUCCAAAAGCAGCGUUGGUACCUAAACACAGCGAAGGGAGCACCACACCACACAAAUUAAUUAAUAUGGAAUAUGGGAUACAUAAUCAUUUGGGCGUGUUGAAUAUUGGGAAACUCCUCGAGGAAAUGAAUUUGGAAAUUACCUACGUUCCUCACUGCUGCUGCAUGGCGACACAGAGAAGUGGUACACAUCAAUAAAAGAGCAAUAGAAUAGAGAAUGUGUGUCUUGUUCUUGAUAAGUCUCAUGAUGAAGACUGCCUUUCUAUUACUUAUUUUCUCUUGAC